GACAGAGGGUGCAAACGUUGCUCGGAAUUACUGGGCGUAAAGCGCACGUAGGCGGCUUUGUAAGUUAGAGGUGAAAGCCCGGGGCUCAACUCCGGAACUGCCUUUAAGACUGCAUCGCUUGAAUCCAGGAGAGGUGAGUGGAAUUCCGAGUGUAGAGGUGAAAUUCGUAGAUAUUCGGAAGAACACCAGUGGCGAAGGCGGCUCACUGGACUGGUAUUGACGCUGAGGCACGAAGGCCAGGGGAGCAAACGGG
rnacentral:rRNA from 1 species